AACGAACGCUGGCGGCAUGCCUAACACAUGCAAGUCGAACGAGACCUUCGGGUCUAGUGGCGCACGGGUGCGUAACGCGUGGUAACCUGCCCUUAGGUUCGGAAUAACUCCCCGAAAGGGGUGCUAAUACCGGCUAAUGUCUUCGGACCAAAGAUUUAUCGCCUUUGGAUGGGCCCGCGUUGGAUUAGCUAGUUGGUAGGGUAAAAGCCUACCAAGGCGACGCUCCAUAGCUGGUCUGAGAGGAUGAUCAGCCACACUGGGACUGGGACACGGCCCAGACUCCUACGGGAGGCAGCAGUGGGGAAUAUUGGACAAUGGGCGAUAGCCUGAUCCAGCAGUGCCGGGUGAGUGAUGAAGGCCUUAGGGUGGUAAAGCUCUUUUACCCGGGAUGAUAAUGACAGUACCGGGAGAAUAAGCUCCGGCUAACUCCGUG
rnacentral:rRNA from 1 species